rnacentral:rRNA from 1 species
GACGAACGCUGGCGGCGUGCCUAAUACAUGCAAGUCGAGCGCAGGAAGCCGUCUGAACCCUUCGGGGGGACGACGGUGGAAUGAGCGGCGGACGGGUGAGUAACACGUAAAGAACCUGCCCAUAGGUCUGGGAUAACCACGAGAAAUCGGGGCUAAUACCGGAUGUGUCAUCGGACCGCAUGGUCCGCUGAUGAAAGGCGCUCCGGCGUCGCCCAUGGAUAGCUUUGCGGUGCAUUAGCUAGUUGGUGGGGUAACGGCCCACCAAGGCGACGAGGCAUAGCCGACCUGGGAGGGUGAUCGGCCACACUGGGACUGAGACACGGCCCAGACUCCUACGGGAGGCAGCAGUAGGGAAUCUUCCACAAUGGACGAAAGUCUGAUGGAGCAACGCCGCGUGAACGAUGAAGGCUUUCGGGUCGUAAAGUUCUGUUGUAAGGGAAGAACAAGUGCCGCAGGCAAUGGCGGCACCUUGACGGUACCUUGCGAGAAAGCCACGGCUAACUACGUGCCAGCCGCCGCAGUAAGAC